UUUCCGUAGGUGAACCUGCGGAAGGAUCAUUACUGAGUUAGGGUGGCUCUGCCGCCCGACCUCCCAACCCUUUGUCUAAACCGACCAUCGUUGCUUCGGCGAGCCGCAUCCCCUCGGGGUCGCGCCGGGGGCCUCACCGCCCCUGGAGAGCGCUCGUCGAUAGCCAAAUUUAAAACUCUUGAUAAAAUACCCACCUAAAUCUUGUAUAUCUUAAUGAUAAAACAAAACUUUCAACAACGGAUCUCUUGGUUCUGGCAUCGAUGAAGAACGCAGC
rnacentral:misc_RNA from 1 species